rnacentral:tRNA from 1 species
GGUGGCUCAGUGGUAGAGUGCUUGCCUUGCAUUCAUGAGGCCUGGGUUCAAUUCCUCAGCACCA